rnacentral:lncRNA from 1 species
AGUAAAAACUCUAAGAUGAAGGAAAGAAGUAGUAAUGUGAUCUGAACUUCCUGCAGCACGUUCUCCUCUGGCAAAAGCUGUAUUUUUGCAGAUAGACAACUUUGUGAAGAUAAAGACAUUGACCUCAGGAAAAAAAAGAAAUAGCAAACCAUCCAGCUGCUGUUGUGUCCCCAAUGAAGGCUCUUCCAUUUACACUGUGGCACAGAGAUGCAUUCCUGCCUGCCUGGGGUACCUCCAUGCAUGUGACCAUAUCACCACUGGGCCUUUUGACCUUCUGUACUGGAAACUUUCUUUUCGAUCCCAUACAUCCUCAUAGGUUCCUGGGCAGGAUAUUCACAGCAAAGAAAGGAAGUGAAGACAACAUGACACAUCUGCAGCUCACAGCCACCACCGUCACACGACGUGGAGUAAAGCUGCCAAGGAGAAGAGCCUCUUUCAGUCAUUUUUCAGGCUCCUUUGUUCAUUAGUCACAGUUUUGACAAGCAGCUAACUCUCUUGAAGAUUGUCUCCAUCUCCAUGCUAGAAAGAAAUGACAAAUCACUCAAAGUUUAGGCAACAAGUUGAUCAGAGACUCAGCAGUGAUAAUGCUGCACUUCUUCGUGGUGGUAACAACCCCAGACACCUACCAAAAUAGCUUGUCAGCUCUGCUUCAUUCAAGUAUUCAAACCACCCAACAUACAGGCAGUCAGAUAAUCUGGCAGACGAAUAAAGUGCCUCGAACAUGACUGCCUUUGACA